UGCUGCCGAUCUCCAGCGUCGGUCCUUUCAGUUUCUUUCUUGAGGGAGGUUUCUCACCAGCACUGUAGAUGUCCAUGUACCACAAUAGGUUGAGAACCCCAGGAAGACCAGCUUUCAUCAUGGCAUCAGCUAAUGAGGAUCCUGUCACGGCUGUUGAAAGGAGAGGACCAAGGUGCAGCGUGGACCUGAGCCCUAGGACCAUGCCCCAGGACUACCUGACAUGAUGACUCCUUGCUGUCCCCAGUCCACCGGGCCAUGCUGCUGUUCCAGUUUCAACUGACCUGAGCCCUAGGACCAUGCCCCAGGACUACCUGACAUGAUGACUCCUUGCUGUCCCCAGUCCACCUGGCCAUGCUGCUGCUCCAGUUUCAACUUCCACCUGACUGUGCUGCUGCUCCAGUUUCAACUGUUCUGCCUUAUUAUUAUUCGAC
ensembl:lncRNA